AUAAGAACACGAAAGCAGGAGUGAAGAAACUGUCAACAAUCCUUUUGGUUACCAUGGAAACUGGUAUCCAUUCAUCCCUGUUAUUUUCAAGGUUUUCACCAGGCUGGAUGAUUAUGUUGCUCCGGGUGCCAUAAAAGUUAACCCUGAUUUGCCAAAGGCUACUCUUUAAGUAUGAAAAUAUAUUAAUCCAUGUUGAGCUGAGAGCUGCAUGCAGGCAAAAAAAAGACAUCACAGAUGAGGUAACCCAUACCUGUGAUCAGCUGAUAAAUGACAGGAGUGAGGUGAAGUUG